rnacentral:tRNA from 1 species
GCCGAGGUGUGGAAUUGGUAGACACGCAAGUUUCAGGUACUUGUGGGGGAAACCCCGUGGAGGUUCAAGUCCUCUCCUCGGCA